rnacentral:rRNA from 1 species
GGGUGGUAAUACCGGAUGCUCCGCUCCAUCGCAUGGUGGGGUGGGAAAUGCUUUUGCGGCAUGGGAUGGGGUCGCGUCCUAUCAGCUUGUUGGCGGGGUGAUGGCCCACCAAGGCGUUGACGGGUAGCCGGCCUGAGAGGGUGACCGGCCACAUUGGGACUGAGAUACGGCCCAGACUCCUACGGGAGGCAGCAGUGGGGAAUAUUGCACAAUGGGCGCAAGCCUGAUGCAGCGACGCCGCGUGCGGGAUGGAGGCCUUCGGGUUGUAAACCGCUUUUGUUCAAGGGCAAGGCACGGUUUCGGCCGUGUUGAGUGGAUUGUUCGAAUAAGCACCGGCUAACUACGUGCCAGCAGCCGCGGUAAUACGUAGGGUGCGAGCGUUAUCCGGAUUUAUUGGGCGUAAAGGGCUCGUAGGCGGUUCGUCGCGUCCGGUGUGAAAGUCCAUCGCCUAACGGUGGAUCUGCGCCGGGUACGGGCGGGCUGGAGUGCGGUAGGGGAGACUGGAAUUCCCGGUGUAACGGUGGAAUGUGUAGAUAUCGGGAAGAACACCA